GACGAACGCUGGCGGCGUGCUUAAUACAUGCAAGUCGAACGGAAAGGCCCUGCUUUUGUGGGGUGCUCGAGUGGCGAACGGGUGUGUAACACGUGAGUAACCUGUCCUUGACUUUGGGAUAACUUCAGGAAGCUGGGGCUAAUACCGGAUAGGAGCUCCUGCUGCAUGGUGGGGGUUGGAAAGUUUCGGCGGUUGGGGAUGGACUCGCGGCUUAUCAGCUUGUUGGUGGGGUAGUGGCUUACCAAGGCUUUGACGGGAGGCCGGCCUGAGAGGGUGACCGGCCACAUUGGGACUGAGAUACGGCCCAGACUCCUACGGGAGGCAGCAGUGGGGAAUAUUGCACAAUGGGCGGAAGCCUGAUGCAGCAACGCCGCGUGCGGGAUGACGGCCUUCGGGUUGUAAACCGCUUUCGCCUGUGACGAAGCGUGAGUGACGGUAAUGGGUAAAGAAGCACCGGCUAACUACGUG
rnacentral:rRNA from 1 species